rnacentral:misc_RNA from 1 species
UCCGGUUUGACACCGGCAGUCUCCCUAGAGUGCCCGGCUUUACCCGCUGGUAACUAGGGACAAGGGUUGCGCUCGUUGCGGGACUUAACCCAACAUCUCACGACACGAGCUGACGACAGCCAUGCACCACCUGUGCACGAGCCCCGAAGGGCUGCCGUGUUUCCACGACAUUCCCGUGCAUGUCAAGCCUUGGUAAGGUUCUUCGCGUUGCAUCGAAUUAAGCCACAUACUCCACCGCUUGUGCAGGCCCCCGUCAAUUUCUUUGAGUUUUAAUCUUGCGACCGUACUUCCCAGGCGGCUUGCUUAACGCGUUAGCUCCGCCACCGAAGGGCAUGCCCACCGACGGCUAGCAUUCAUCGUUUACGGCGUGGACUAC